GCGUUUGUAGCCAAGUGGUAAGGCACCGCACUUUGUUGGAUAGCAUUAGGGCCUCGAUAAGUUCAAGACUUAUAUCCAACCCCAUAAUGCGGGUAUCGAGAGUUCGAAUCUCUCCAGACGCA
rnacentral:tRNA from 1 species